GACGAACGCUGGCGGCGUGCUUAACACAUGCAAGUCGAACGGAAAGGCCCUGCUUUUGUGGGGUGCUCGAGUGGCGAACGGGUGAGUAACACGUGAGUAACCUGCCCUUGACUUUGGGAUAACUUCAGGAAACUGGGGCUAAUACCGGAUAGGAGCUCCUGCUGCAUGGUGGGGGUUGGAAAGUUUCGGCGGUUGGGGAUGGACUCGCGGCUUAUCAGCUUGUUGGUGGGGAAGUGGCUUACCAAGGCUUUGACGGGUAGCCGGCCUGAGAGGGUGACCGGCCACAUUGGGACUGAGAUACGGCCCAGACUCCUACGGGAGGCAGCAGUGGGGAAUAUUGCACAAUGGGCGGAAGCCUGAUGCAGCAACGCCGCGUGCGGGAUGACGGCCUUCGGGUUGUAAACCGCUUUCGCCUGUGACGAAGCGUGGGUGACGGUAAUGGGUAAAGAAGCACCGGCUAACUACGUG
rnacentral:rRNA from 1 species